rnacentral:lncRNA from 1 species
GGGAUGAUCCCACUUUUGAGCCAUGUAAAAGUUGCCCUCUGCUGACUGAGCCACAGCUCUGCAUCAGCUGGGACAUGGGGCCAUUUUUGUCAUAAGGCCUACACUGCUGCCUAAGCAGGAGUCCUUCCAACACAUUAUUUUCCAUGCAGCACAGCCUUUGCUCACCCAACUGAAAGAAUAACAGCCACCCAACUGAUCUGUACUUAGCUGAAAAAUACAGAGCUGUCCCACUCCAUCACACUGCUCACUAUUCCCUGUUGCCUAGAUGGCUUUAGAUGAAGACUUCUCCAUAUCGUUUGCCUGCAAAUGCAUACACCGAAUCUUUCAAACCAGGUUGCAGCAGUAAAGUUUUUAAAUACUGUUGAGGAAGUAUUAAGCUGUUUGAGAAAAAAAAAUGGCAUUCUACACAAUGCUUUGUGUCUCAGGCAGGAAAAUUAUUAGGAAUUUGAUGUCAAAGAGCAAAACAUUUCAAUCUUUCACAGGAUUAUAGCAACGAGAUCUGACAGCAGCCAUAAUUUGUGAAUCAGAAUACAUCAAAAGAGCUCUGUUGAAGGUGUGGUGGUGGUUCAAUUGUAGUGGCAGAUGUGUGAUAUUUUGCAGCCUGUCUGUGACACGGCUCUGAUUGUUCUGCAUUGCAGUUGCUAUGGCUAGGGCUCCUUCGGCUGCAAAGACACUUGAUCACUGACUCUAGGAAUGUACUCACUGAACAGGAGCUAAAAUUUCAGGGCCUAAAAUGAUUCUAAAAGAGUCUGUGGGAGGUGGAGCAGGUGGAGAGCACAGCCACCCAGCUCAUGCAGCCUUCACCCUCACAAUGCUUCCGCCACAGGGCUGACCUGUUGGCAUGGAUAAUGGGAACACGCCAGCUCUGCAGCAGUGCCAAAAGGAAGGCUUUGUGCCCUAACAACAGCAGGACAGGGAUGAUGGGACGCAGGCACACAACAGGACCAAAUGCAGCCAAGCCACUUUACAUCCAGUUUUCAGGUUAACAUGAUGUGACCUGUAGUAACUGCCUGUUUGGCAGAAAUACUGUCCUUUCACAGGGGCAGGUGGUUUAGACAGAAGAGCAAGACUAAGAACCCUGCUGGAAGUGGGAGGCAUGAGAAUGUAGCAGCAGCUUUCCCUUUCUGCCAAGGGGUAGUGGGAGCAACUUAUGUCAGCUUCCCAAAAGGCAAGUUUUAAGAGAAUCACUUUCAAACGAUAUUAAAAUCGCAAAUAUAACAUGAAGUUCGUGGCUACAGGAUAAGUUCUACGCCAUUAAAUAAUAAACAAAACCGAGGGGACA